rnacentral:rRNA from 1 species
UACGUAGGGUGCAAGCGUUAAUCGGAAUUACUGGGCGUAAAGCGUGCGCAGGCGGUUAUGUAAGACAGAUGUGAAAUGCCCGGGCUUAACCUGGGAACUGCAUUUGUGACUGCAUGGCUAGAGUUUGGCAGAGGGGGUAGAAUUCCACGUGUAGCAGUGAAAUGCGUAGAUAUGUGGAGGAACACCGAUGGCGAAGGCAGCCCCUGGGUCAAGACUGACGCUCAUGCACGAAAGGCGUGG